GGCUCGUUGGUCUAGGGGUAUGAUUCUCGCUUCGGGUGCGAGAGGUCCCGGAUUUAAAUCCCGGACGAGCCC
rnacentral:tRNA from 1 species